UGUAAUGUUGUAUCUGUGAAAGUAUGUUUGUGUAUCUCUCUAAUUAAGGCAUAGAUUAGGGUAUCAUAUCUCAUUCUAUCUUUAAUUAAGGCAUAGAUCAAACGUAUCUUUUUUUGUAUCUUUUCUAGGGUUAGGUUUUCUCUAUUUAAAGGAUUGUUAGCAUUGUAUUACGUAUCUUCUCAAUUAGCAAUACAUAUUCUAUUCUCUCUCAUACGUUCUGUCACAGUAUCAUCCAAAAGAUUCAUAGAAACCUCCACCAAAUGUCAAGUAGUCAACAAUUCUCGUAUAGAGAAUAACUAAAGUACUAAACCAUUAAAAUCAACAAAACGCAAGCAUCCAACAUUUGAAAUGAACUUAAAACAAGUAAUUGUUCUACUUGGCUUUCCAUCUAAGGAUGAUUUACUAAUCAUCAUCAACAUCAACACCAAGUAAAACAGGUCAGUUGAUUGAUCAGAGAGAGAUGAAGUCAAUCAAUUGAUCGAGCGAGAGAGAGAGAGAGAGAGAGAGAGAGAGAGAGAGAGAGAGAGAGAGAGAGUACAUGGGUUUGAUUACCUGUAUUCUGUAUUCUCCCCCAGGUUUGCCGCCAGAGAUACACAGGCGAGUGAGAUUUGAGUCAACUGUUGAAUGGAAUCACUUAAAGAAACCAAAAUCCUAUGGCUGUGAUUGAAUUUCAAAAGGCGAGCCUUUUGUCGCCUCACCGCCUCUCACUCCUUUCUCGCCUAUGUAGUGUUUAGUUAAAGUCACCUCGCCUUGCACCCAUCAAGGCGACAAUCCAUUGCGCGCCUCUUGCCUAGACGAUCGCCUUGAGGCGCCUUUGACAACUAUGGUUGUGAACAACAGAAUGGUUCUUAGUUGCAAGAAUCUCCAAUGUGGUUGGCGAAUCCACCUCGGAACCUCGCUCCCGCGCUCCCAAGUCAGGAACCUCGCUCCCAAUGAGAAGGAACCCGCUCCCAACUAGGAUAGAACCUCUUAGGCAUUUAAAUCCCAAAAGAAACAAAAAUAAAAGAUACCAAGCAAGAUAAAAGACAAAGUAAUGAUUAUUAUUAUUUUUUUGAAAGGCGUAAGGCGUAGUAAUGAUAAGAUAUUAGAAAAAAUUUAACUUAAAUUUGCUCAAUUGCAUAAUGUGAUAACCAUAAUAUUACUUAGUCAUUAAGACAAUCUUUGCAAUUGAUAUGAAUGACGCAUGAUAAUAUUUACUUGCAUUACAUACUUUCAUGUACUAUUUCUAAAUCAAUCCCGCUCCCACCCCCGCUUUGUGCAACUAAGGUAUGGAGAACAACUAGAAUCACAUAUUAAAAACUAUAAAUAUUUUUAUGUUUUGUAUUUUAAGUAGUAGAAUAAUAUUUUCUUUUUGACGUCUAACUACAUUAAAAUACAUAAAAAUCAAUAGUUUUUCCUAAACGCUCCUGACGGCGCUCCCACACUUCUAUGAUCAUCCGCUUCCCCACUCCCGCUCCCGUUCCCAUUCCUGCUCCCGCUUCGUGCAACUAAGGAAUGGUUCCAUCCGCAUUCUUUAAAUGCCCAAUAUGCUCAAGUUAUACUGUUAGCCAUGAACACCCCUUUUUUACACAACUACACUUGGCUCCAAAGUUCGAACAAUUAUGAAAAGGGAGGAUAUUAGGGAAACAGUGAGUGGAGAUUCCCCUGCAGAGAGCCGGAUGAGGGGAGACCUUCACAUCAUGUUUGGAGGGCAGGGAUAUCCCAACCCUACUAUCAUUAUGGCUUUGUAAUGUUACUUGGUGGAUCGACUGAAUCAAAUUCAAAAAAGCCCUUUUCAACAUCUGCUUCAUGAAUUGAAGGGAUUGAUCAAAAUUCUCAGGGUUGUUUAGGUGGCAUCUCUUUUGCUGUUUAGGGUAAAAUGUUUGAAUGCCAAACAAUUCCACGGCUGUCAUCCCUUUAGAUAUUCUUAUUCCUUCAGCAUUGCACCUCUAGUUGGGAGGUUGCUGAUGACCAAUGGUUUUCCACGUGCCUAGCAUCUGAAAUUUAAUUACCUGUAACACUCAUC